rnacentral:rRNA from 1 species
GCGGAUUCCGCGGCCGCUGCAGAGUUUGAUCCUGGCUCAGGACGAACGCUGGCGGCGUGCCUAAUGCAUGCAAGUCGAACGCAGGGCGCUUGCGCCGCUGCGUGGCGCACGGCUGAGGAACACGUGGGUAUCUUCCCCGGAGUGGGGGAUAUCGCCGCGAAAGCGUGGCAAUCCCGCAUACGCUCGGCAACGAGGAAAGGCGUCAGCGCUCCGGGAUGAGCCUGCGGCCCAUCAGGUAGUUGGGGGGGUAAUGGCCUCCCAAGGCACUGACGGGUCCCUGGUCUGAGAGGACGACCCAGGCAGACUGGGACUGAGACACGGGCCAGACUCCUAACGGGAGGCAGCAGCAAGGAAUUUUCCCCAAUGGGCGCAAGCUGAGGGAGCAACGCCGCGUGGAGG